ACCACCUGGACGUCCUGGGCCCGCCCCACGCCCCACCCCUGGACCCGCCUCCAGCUCCGCCCCCGCCGCGGAGCGGAACCCGCGGAGCUGGGCUUGAGGAGCAAGGGUCCCGUAGCUAGUUUGAGACUAAGAGGUAAAGAGGAGAAACACCGGGGACUGUAAGAUUUCUUCUCAGUGACGAAUAUAUAGAUAUAUUUAGAAGAAUAUAUUCUGAAAGAAGGUAUUCAAUUUUUGUCUGGCCCAAGUUUUUAAUGCUUUACCUACAGAAAAGGAAAAAGAAUCUACUGACAAGAAUUCUGCCCAUUCAAGAUUAUGUUUUUGUAUCCACCCAGUCUUUCCUUUUUCCUCUCCUUCAGACUCCAACUACAUCAGCGUGGAGCUGAGGCAGAGACAUAUUGAACAGUCCUUAAAAUGCCGUCAUGGAGAAAAAAUGGCAACACACGAGUCCAAUCGGUAACUUGUUCAUUCAGUGAAGCAGUCCUUUGUCCAAAUGGCCUUCAAACCAACCUGCUUUCUAGGCAACCUCAUUAGAUACAACCUAGUAUCCCAAAUGAAGCCAUGUCACCAUUUUUGCUAAGAGCAGUCAUGAAAAGUCAUGAACAGCCUUCAGCUUUUGCUAAGAGCUCGCUGAAGUGAAGAGUUACUUUGUGGGAUUAAUGACUGCAGUGUGUUUUGGGGAAAAACACUUCUCAAAUGUUCUGAGGAGAUUCUUCAAAUUCUGGUCAGUGCUGUGACACUCCUCGCCUCCUCACACUGGCACUUCUCUCCCUUUCGAUGGAAUCUCAGACUGUGACGCCAAUUUUAAACUCAAAGGAGGAUGCUUCUCGGGGACAUUCUCUCCGUCCUGCCCCUUAUCCGUGUAAAGUAAAAAAGUAGACAAGAGAAUCUGGCUUAAGGCCCACGGCCCAGACACAAAACACAGCAGGAAAAAUGAGGGGGCGAUGGACAGGAUCUAAAGAAUGUUGGAAUUGUGCAUUCUUUGGUGUAUGCUUUGAUCACAUCAUGUGCAGGAGAUUGGGUUUCUGAGCUCUCACGCCCAGAUCUAGAGUAGCUCACCACCUUCCUCAUCAGUGGAAUCCUCAACCUCUUUGGGGCAGCUGAGCAUCAUAGGAGAGGCUGCUCUAAGACCUCUUGUGGAAUCGAGGCCAGUUUCCCCCAUUGGUGGCUCCCACAUGCUAAUCAGUUCCCCAGAAACCCCUAAUCCUGUCCUCACCUUCUCGAAAUCCUACUGCUGAAUGCUGAGGAAGCAGAGACACGGAGGGGAUCUAAAUCUGGGACUGUGUGGGCCAAAGGCAACAUUUGUUAAAGAGGGAAUCUUGAAAGAGAUCAAGAGGAAACUGAAGAGGCGACCCCAGAAGCUGAUCUUGUGAGGAAGACCCUUGCUCUAACCCCGCGGUGACUGUGUGUCUGCUGUCUUCCAGGAGAUGUUACUGUCACGUUCAUCUCGGGCCACUUACACGCCACGCCGCCAGGGAAAGAGACUGCAAACGCCUUCUCUUUGUGAAGGCUUUCAAACUCAAAGGACUGAGCUACAAAUUUAUUUUGGCGAUUUUAACAGUCUUGUCGAUUUUAACAUAAAUACAAGACAAUUAAAUAAAUCAGAGAAGAAAUAUUGCGAAGGCAAAUCAGCACUCACAGAAGUGUAUUACGUUAUUACUGUGGUUAACCUGGAAUACAACAUUCACUUGAACUAUAUGCAAGGGAACCUUCGUGAAAGGCCUAACUAAAGGGUUUUGCAAUGUUCCUAAUAAGGACCUACUCGAGACAUUGCUCAAACAGCUGUAGGUGGGAAGCAAGAUAAACCCUCUAUAACUAGAAACAAUCAGGCUUUGAUACGUAUGGAAACAAGAGCAUUGAAGGAUAGGUCGUGUUCCCAAUAGCUGCUCCCCCUUGUCACUAUACAUUCUUCAAGACUUCACACCUUUUAAAGAAUAAUCCUAGCUCUGGCUGGGCCAGAGCGUACCAAUCAUGACAAUUAACAAAGUACUACGCAGUUGCCUUUUAAAGAGCAGCAAUAUGAUUAUUUUCCCCCAUGUACACCUCCCUUAAAAAGUAAUCCUACUCUACUCCCCUUUUCUGAAAGGCUCUGGGGAUUUGAGAAGUGGCAGUGUAUGUAUCUCUUCCACAUUCACAAUUUUCCUGACAGAUGGUCUAGAUUACAGUUCCAUCCCUCUCUGUGGCCAAGGUGCUAAGCUAAACGUCUUGGUGCAGAUUCCCUAAUCUGGUGAUUAGGCAUGAGGUCAGGAGACGGGUGUUGGUAUUGGGUGCCGCAUGUGGGUGUACAGAUGGUAUCCUGCACAAGGGUGCACCCAAGAGGAUGAGAGAGGCUAAAACAUGGCCCCCACUCAGUGUGCCAAGCCAUGAGCCCUUGGGGCUGUGUCUGCCCAGUCGGGGCACCUUUUUCCAACUCGCUCAAAGGCACUAUAUGAGCUAAUUGUGGCACUGUCUGUUUACAUUUUGUCCAGUCUGGCUGGCAUCAUUAAUUUCUUGAUUUCAGUGAGGCUUCUGUAUUUCACAUCCCAUAUAAUCUCCAAAAGGAGCUUUAGAAUUCACUGAACCAUCAAGGAUUUUCUGAAUUAUCACAUUAGACACAAGAACACAACCACGAUUCUACAAAGAAAUACAUUUACACGGUAGAAAAUAAAUACAAAAGACGUGGAAGAUAUCUGACAUGUGGGUCACUAGAAUUUAGCUUAUUUACAACAAAUGCAUGCACAACUCAACUCACCAACAGGCUGAAGUCAACAGUUGCUUUCUGGGACGUUAUCAAAGAUGACUUCGCCUCUAAACUGUGGCUGGAAAUGAACUACUUUGAUUUUCAAGAAGUCUUACUCUUACUGUGUUGUUUAAACCCAAUCUCCUCUUAAAAGGAAGGAUAAAAAAACAAACUGCAAAUGUCUAAAAACCAUGUCUAAAACCUCUUGGCUUCCUCUUCCAAUAACCAUCGCCCUUCAAUUGGCAAAUGCUCCUCCAGAGGUUGCCGAGUAUAAAAUUAGUUGAUUUUCAUACAUCUCACAUUGUGUAAAAGAUAAAAUUGGACAUUUCACACUGUCAAGCAUCAUGCUUUGAUUUUAGAAAAAGGAAUCACAUUUACUCAAUAAAGUGUAAGCUUCCCCGCUU